rnacentral:rRNA from 1 species
UACGGGGGGGGGCAAGCGUUGUUCGGAAUUACUGGGCGUAAAGGGCUCGUAGGCGGCCAACUAAGUCAGACGUGAAAUCCCUCGGCUUAACCGGGGAACUGCGUCUGAUACUGGAUGGCUUGAGUUUGGGAGAGGGAUGCGGAAUUCCAGGUGUAGCGGUGAAAUGCGUAGAUAUCUGGAGGAACACCGGUGGCGAAGGCGGCAUCCUGGACCAACACUGACGCUGAGUGAGCGAAAGCCAGGGGGAGCAAACGGGG